GGUUUUUGGUUAUUGUGCAGCAGGCGUUAUUACAGAAAAACAACUUCGUAUCACAGAACUGUAGAGUUGGCAGGGACCAGGGGGGGUUGUCCAGCCCCCUGCAAUGCAGGAAUCCUUUGUCCAACAUGGGGGCUUGAACCCACAGCCCUGAGAGUCCCAUGCUCUACCGACUGAGCUAGACUCAAAGUUGCCUUAAUAAGCAUCCACUAAGUAUACUUCCCCCCCCCCCCCAAUGCUGGUCAACCCAAGAAGCUUUGGAGGUCCUUAAUGUCCCACUGAGCUCACUUUAAGUGACACAUGGGGCCCUACAACUUUAAACAGCAAACCUUUUUCUUUGAAAUAGUGCAAUGCGCUUGAGUUCAACUCUUAGCAUAGUAAGGGAGGGCAACAAAUACAAACCACCUUGGUAUUAGUAAAAGAUUUAAAUGAUUCGUGCUGGUUUAGUAAAAAGCUAUUUUACUGUAAAAAGUGAAUCCAGAAAUCAAAACUGAACACUUUGAGAGGUUCUUGAAAAUGUUUGUUUAUAUUGUCCUUUUUUUUUUUACUGGAAGAAACGUGCAUAAUUCAAUUGACGUUGUAUUUGAAGUGGAUAAGGAAGUUCCUGUAUUGAGUUUUGGCUUUACGAAGCCCGUUAAAAUCCCACCUGAAACAAAAAUAAUAAUAAUGUCCCACUGAACUAAAGGAAAACUGAGGCUGGGCUAUAAGUCAGUUGCCUGCUGCCAUCUAAAAGCCGCUUUUCCUUUGCUUCGUUACCAGUGCUCCCCCCCCCCCAAAAAAAAUGUUUAGGGGUACUCUCAUUUUCCUACUCAUAUUGAAAUACUGCCCCUCAAUGAGGCCAAACUUAGAUUCGCAAAACGUUUACCCCCACGUUCCCCCCAGAAAAAAAAGCACUGUGCAUUACCAUGUGCUGGUGAAAGCUGCACCAUUUAAAUUUCAGGCUGUUGUGCAGCUAUUAAAGGCGCAAAGCCCCCCUGCAAGGAAGAAGGUGGCAAAUCUACUCUCAGCUCUUGGGUAAAGCUUUGUAGAAAAGAGUUCCCACCAGUGCUUUUAGGGCAUUUUGAAAACGCAACCACCACAAUCUUUUUUGUGUAUUUCCCACAAACUGCUGGAGAGGUGGCAUUUAACUGCCCAGGCUUUGUCACCUGAGUGUAGGGACAGCUCCUAUGAAAGUCCACCAUCUAUAAAGAAAUCUCUGCCUAUAAGGCAGCUACGUAGUGCAGUGGGUUAGAGUCUCAGACUAGCGUCAAGGAGAUACAAGUUCAACUUCCCAUGAAUCUCAGUUUUUUUACUUGGGGCCAGCCACGAAUGCCCAGCCUAAGCUACCUUGCCUGCCAUUCUGAGAAGAAAAUUGGGAGGGCAAAAUCACAAGGAAAGGUGGGAUAUGGAUGUAAUAAGUACAGCGAAACUCUUCCACUAAAUAUUCAUUUUCUAUGUGUAGGGAAUUUUAUCAUUUGUAUGCAGUGGUUGGGUCUAGUUCACAGACUUGGAGGUGAAAAUGAUGAAACAGGGCUAAGGAAAGUAGUUUUGGGAACUUCUUGCAGAUCUCCAGGUGGUUUGGAGUAGAUUUACCAAAUAACUCCCCCUAAAUUAUACUGCUGGAAUGAAGGAAUGGGUGGGUGGGUGAGGAGUAUCAUUGUGUGGAGCAACUGUGAGUUCAGGUGCCUUAGAAUGCUUUGAUUCUAAGUGUUUAUCUUUUGCACCUGGCUACAGUUGGUGUCUCUCAGGUUCUGGUAAAAGGAAAGCUAAUUCUCCAGGCCUCUGUUCAUUCCUGAAAUAGAGGACUCUUUUAAGAGGACAAGGGUUCCUAUAUUUGUCCCAGCUUUGCAGAAGUCGCAGAUGAAACUUUUACCACCUCUGCAGCCUCACAGUAAGAAAAUUUAACCUGCUUUCUUAGUUCAUUGGAAUUGUUCUGGAAGCUCUGUUCUCAGUUGUGUCUGACUUGAAUGGUCUGGUAGAGAAGGCUACUGGCCAAGUAUGUAUUUUACAAGAAGAAUUAGAUUUUGUAUGGCUAGUUUGGGAAGCAUACUGGUUUAGUAUGGCUUAUUUUUAAGAAAAGGAAGCCGGUAGUUUUGCUAGGUAUGUGCAAAUGUUUGGUCUCUUGAUGGGCUGCUAAAUUUAAUAUGAGUUUGCCUUUUUUUAAGACUGGAAAUUGUCCAUAUAAUAUUGACUAGAACCCUGCACUGUCAAGAGUCUGAUGGUUGAGCUGGUUUGAAUUUCAAAGGAUGGUUUUAAUGAAGGGAGGGUAACACAGUGGACUUGAAUUAUUUCACAGAUGUGUAAGAACUUAAUGAGGAAAAAGCUUUUUGGGCCAAGGGGAGGGAAGAAAUGUGUCUUUUUCCAACUGAUGAGCUGGAGAAAAAUAGCCCUGCUCAUAUGAUAUACUAGAUCUCAUUUUCUUAUAAAAAGAAUGCUUGGCUCAUGGGCUGUGUUAUUCAAACUUCAUUUCUGUUCAGAAAUGAAAAAUGGGAGCCUGUAGUCAAUGGUCCAUCUACUUUUGGAAUAGCUUCUGUAAAGUCAAUAACUCCAAAGAGCUGCACAGAUUGAGGCUUAACUAGUUUCUGGAGCGCUGCCUUAAACGGGAGAACUUUGAUUUGAAACAGCUUAUUCCCAUCUUAUAUAAUUAUUAACAAUUUAAGGCACCUUCUAUAUGUUGAAAGUAAUAGUCUGAGCUCAGCAGACCCUGUGAGAUUGGUGGCGAGAUUCUUAAUUUAAAGAACGGUGAGAAUGUGCUUGUCUAAAGACCAAACUAGACAUGGCUGUAAUUGCAUGAUUAGAUUUAACGUGCCUGGUUUGAGAAUUUUUAAAUAGCAGCCAGGGUGGUGGGAAAUAGGGAAGGCGAUGAAUUUGGCACUUUGUCAAAUUCAGGGGGUUAACCCUAUCUGCCUGUGUAGCAGUCCCAAUGAAGACGACACACACGGAAUCUGCUCUCUUCCCCCUUGUUUCUUUGCAAUUAAAGAAUUACAUUCACAUCUUAUUUGAGUGGCAUUUGUGGAGAGGAGAAUCCCCCUCCCCAGAUUUUUGUGAUCUUCAGUGGCCAAGAGAAAUUUCUACAUGGCAUAUGUGCAUAUGGCAGAGGGUUGUCUCAGGCCCCCCCCUUUCUUUUUGGGGUUUCUUUUUCAUUGUUAAAAGUUUUGCCAUUGCUUGAAGAUCUGGCGCACUGUUCCCAGGGGGCAUUCUUGGUUACUGUUUUUAACACAGUUGCCCCCCAACUCCUGCUCCCUCAUACCUGUUAUGGUAAGUCCCCUGGCAAUUUCUCCAAUUCACCCAGAACCCUCCACCCCAGUUUCACAGGAGACAAAUGACUCUGUAAAAGAGUAUGUGUGUUGGCAUGUGUGUGAGGGGGAACGGAUGACUUUUAGCCAAGUCUUCUUCAAUUAAGCUUUCAUGGCUCUAAAACAAUUUCAAUUUAUGUACCCUUUGACUGGAUUGUGGUUUGGGUUUCCCAUCUUGAAAAGAAUAGGGAAGGGGAUAAAAUUGCCCUGAGAAGGAAUAUUAUAAAUCAAAAGACACAUUGAGACACCUCCAAAGAAAAGGAGAGUCAAAAUAUCCAAAGGUGUUCCUUCUAAUAAUUUCAAAAUUUAGGGCAUUUUUAUAAGUGACACCCCUUUACUCCCAAGUUGACCAUUUGUGCCGGUGUUUUUAAUGCAAAGUAGGGCAGGGGCGCGAGUUAGUUAUUAAAUCCAUGUCCAUUCAAGCAAAUGCAAGACGUAAAUUUCGAUUUCAGGCGUGGGAAAUGCAAAAGGCGAGUUUUGUGUUUUGGGGUAGGAAUUUACUCUUUCUUUCCGUCCCUUUAAAAAAUCCAUUUGCCUAUCCUUUAAUUCCUGGAUUGACAUUACAGUUUUGUCUUGGCAUUGCUUUGGUACUAUAAUUAGGAAACAGGGACACCUCUCCCCCCCAAAAAAAAUUCUGGCUGUAGUUGUAUACAACAACGUGUUGCGUGUGACUGGUAUUCCAAGUGAGAGUGCAGGCAUGUGCACUGCACUGCGUACACUCAUAAAAUAUACAACUGCGUUCUGUCAGUGUGCAUGGAUAUCUCCUACUGGAUUGGGGUGUAUGAAUUUUGUAAGGGUAGUCCUUUAUCCCUGAAACAGUCAUGGAUGCUUUCCCAAGGUGAAUAUCAGCAAUCCUGUAUAGACACAGGUAGCUCUGCUGGGCAAAUGUGCCACCUUUUGUAACCCUGUCUUGAGUCUUCCAACCCUUGACUCUUGAGUCUUACAAUGUGCUUUAGCAUAAUGAAGCUCAAAGAAAGAACAAAAGACCUGCAUUUUCAAGGCUUGGUUCUCAGCAUCUUCAGAUAAUAGCAGGAGCUGGCCUGAGGUCCUAGACAACAGCUAGUCAGAGUAGGUCUCCCUGAAGCAGACAGACAACCCGACUCAGUUUAAGGCAGCUCUCUGAUACUGGCUUCAGUGGAACUAGACGGCCUUUGGACAGCUUUAAAAAAUUUGGCCCUGAGAAAACGAGAUUCACUAAAUGCAACAAAUUGGUUGCUUUUGGUUGAGCAGGGCUGUACAUUUCUCCUACAUAGUAAGAUUCAUAGUAUGUAAAUAUCCAUACUGAUUUUUCUCCCUCUCUCUCUUUGUAACUUGUCUGUAACAAUCCAUCACUCUGUCUGUAUUUCUCAAAGACCACUGUACACCUCCAUAUGGUUCCCCCGAUCAUUUCCUCUGUUGGCAUUCGGCCGAUAAGGAAAAGGGUCGGGGGCUUCAAUAUGUAUAUAGAGAAUUAUGUAUAUUUAGUAAAUUUGAGUAAGUGGGACUUACGGCCAGUAAUACAUUUUGCAACAAUGGUACCAGGAUCUUCCCAACCCGACUAGCGAAACCAAACUGUUCACCUUGCCAUGUCCAUCCUGUAAUAAGACCUAAGUUGCACCCGCCUGUAGUUCUGCAUGAUUGGACUUCCAAAUAUAAUUCACAAUGACCAGGAGUGUAACUUCUCAGUGUUGAUAAAAGUAGUUUUUAUAUCUCUAUAUAUAUGCGGAGAAAAAACACACACAAAACAAAGAGCCACUGUUCAGCAUCAAGAAUGGAAGAGGAAGAAGUGUCCAACUCCAUUGCAAGGUCUUAGUUUUGAACGUGAUAAGUAAACAACCUGUGAGUAUGGAUGAACUGACAAAUGUGACAUUUGAUAAGGAAAUGAACCUCAUUACAUUUUGUUUACUUCUUCAGUCGUUUUUACUUUCUACCUUUCAUUGUUUCCUGUGGGUGGUACGAGGGGGAACGGAGGGGUCUUGGCUUUGUUCAUCAACCUUUUGUGGAUCAAUGUUGAGUCGAUGCAUUCUGACUUCUGUUUGUUUUGAGUUAUUAAAAGCAGAAGGGAAUCUAUUUUCCCCUUUGUGCC
rnacentral:lncRNA from 1 species